AUGGCCGAAUCAUUUGGGAUGUUGGUGUGGAAUGUUCGGGGGCUGAACAAUCCUGCUAGGCGCAGCUCCAUUCGCUUGUUCAUGCAAAACUAUGAUGUUUCCUUGGUGUGUUUGCAAGAAUCUAAGUUGGAGGUGUUGGAUGCCUCUGUUAUCAACCAGACUUUGGGCCCUAGUUUUGAUGGGUUUGAGGCUCUGCCGGCCGAUGGUACUAGAGGAGGUAUUGUGAUCGCCUAG
rnacentral:rRNA from 1 species